rnacentral:misc_RNA from 1 species
GGUAUCUGUUUGAGUUUCAUUCCUUCAAUCUCCCUACUAAAAAAAAUAUUGAAUUGGAUUAAACUCGCUGAGUUGAUUCAGUAGCUGAACUCGUUUACCGGUGAGUGAACCCGCAGAGAAGCUAAUAUCUGUGUGCCAAUGCCACUUCCUAACACCCGCCUGAUACCCAAUGGCACUUCUCAGCCACUCUCUUUCUGCCAUCACUACCACUUUCUUCCUCUUGAAGAAUCGCAUCAUUUAAAAGCAACGGUAAACCUACUCAGCUCCUUUCCUUGCAAUUCCGAUUCCCUGCCUUUACUUAUCGAGUUUCAGAAUACCCUGUUCCUCUUUUUCUUUUGACCUCUGAUUAUUCGUAUGGGUUUUAUUUCAUUAUUUUAUUUAUCGGUGAAAGGGAAGCCUUUAACCUUAUCAAGAAAAAUACAAGAAUCCUAUCUGUUGUUUCGCAUUUGAGACGAAGAAGGACUUGCCCGUAACAAAUCAUCGAAACUUGUUUAGUAUUUUAUUGCAAAAUAGCCAAU